rnacentral:rRNA from 1 species
CAAUCUAUGUCGGCGACCGGCGCACGGGUGCGUAACGCGUAUGCAACUACCCAUUACAGGGGGAUAACACUGAGAAAUCGGUACUAAUACCCCAUAACAUCCAGGGAGGCAUCUUCUUGGGUUGAAAACUCCGGUGGUAAUGGAUGGGCAUGCGUUGUAUUAGUUAGUUGGUGGGGUAACGGCUCACCAAGGCGACGAUACAUAGGGGGACUGAGAGGUUAACCCCCCACAUUGGUACUGAGACACGGACCAAACCCCUACGGGAGGCAGCAG